rnacentral:rRNA from 1 species
CACGUAGGGCGCAAGCGUUGUCCGGAAUUAUUGGGCGUAAAGAGCUCGUAGGCGGCCUGUCACGUCCGCUGUGAAAAGCUAGGGCUUAACCCUGGCCUUGCAGUGGAUACGGGCAGACUAGAGGUAGGUAGGGGAGAAUGGAAUUCCCGGUGUAGCGGUGAAAUGCGUUGAUAUCAGGAGGAACACCGAUGGCGAAGGCAGCAAACUGGUCGUCAACUGACGCUGAGGCGCGAAAGCGUGGGUAGCAAACAGG